GCUUGCUUCCUAUGAAAUCGAGUGGCAAACGGGUGAGUAACGCGUAAACAACCUGCCCUUCGGAUGGGGAUAACAGCCGGAAAUGGCUGCUAAUACCGAAUACGAUCUUUUCGUCGCAUGACGGAAAGAAGAAAGGAUGGCCUCUAUACAAAGCUAUCGCCGAAGGAGGGGUUUGCGUCUGAUUAGCUGGUUGGAGGGGUAACGGCCCAACAAGGCGAUGAUCAGUAGCCGGUCUGAGAGGAUGAACGGCCACAUUGGGACUGAGACACGGCCCAGACUCCUACGGGAGGCAGCAGUGGGGAAUCUUCCGCAAUGGACGAAAGUCUGACGGAGCAACGCCGCGUGAGUGAAGAAGGUCUUCGGAUUGUAAAGCUCUGUUAUACGGGACGAAAAAGACGGAUGCCAACAGUAUCCGUCCGUGACGGUACCGUAAGAGAAAGCCACGGCUAACUACGUGCCAGCAGCCGCGGUAAUACGUAGGUGGCAAGCGUUGUCCGGAAUUAUUGGGCGUAAAGGGCGCGCAGGCGGUUCGGUAAGUCUGUCUUAAAAGUGCGGGGCUUAACCCCGUGAGGGGACGGAAACUGUCGAACUUGAGUGUCGGAGAGGAAAGCGGAAUUCCUAGUGUAGCGGUGAAAUGCGUAGAUAUUANGAGGANNNCCGGUGGCGANAGCGGCUUUCUGG
rnacentral:rRNA from 1 species